rnacentral:rRNA from 1 species
GAGUUUGAUCCUGGCUCAGAUUGAACGCUGGCGGCAUGCUUUACACAUGCAAGUCGAACGGUAACAGGGUGCUUGCACCGCUGACGAGUGGCGAACGGGUGAGUAAUAUAUCGGAACGUACCUGGUAAUGGGGGAUAACUAUCCGAAAGGAUAGCUAAUACCGCAUACGCCCCGAGGGGGAAAGUGGGGGACUCGCAAGAGCCUCACGUUAUCAGAGCGGCCGAUACCGGAUUAGCUAGUUGGUGAGGUAAAGGCUCACCAAGGCAACGAUCUGUAGCGGGUCUUAGAGGACGAUCCGCCACACUGGAACUGAGACACGGUCCAGACUCCUACGGGAGGCAGCAGUGGGGAAUCUUGGACAAUGGGCGAAAGCCUGAUCCAGCAAUGCCGCGUGCAUGAAGAAGGCCUUCGGGUUGUAAAGCGCUUUUGUUCGGGAGGAAAUCCUAAGGGCUAAUAUCUCUUGGGGAUAACAGUACCGGAAGAAUAAGGACCGGCUAACUACGUGCCAGCAGCCGCGGUAAUACGUAGGGUCCAAGCGUUAAUCGGAAUUACUGGGCGUAAAGGGUGCGCAGGUGGUUUAUUAAGUGUGAUGUGAAAGCCCCGGGCUCAACCUGGGAAUUGCAUUGCAAACUGGUAUACUAGAGUAUGGCAGAGGGGGGUGGAAUUCCGCGUGUAGCAGUGAAAUGCGUAGAGAUGCGGAGGAACACCGAUGGCGAAGGCAACCCCCUGGGC